UUUUCAAAGAGAAUGAAGUCUUGGUCUUGUGGUCUUUGUUUAAAAUUCCGGGAACUUGCUGGUGGGCUUCUUGGAAGUUGCUCUCCCUAUUUCUUCUUCUAGUAGAUUGAAGGUUGCUGCUGCCGGGAAAUCUAACAUGGCAGAAAUGCUUAUUUCAGGAGUUGUCCAAAAACUUGCCGAUAUAGCAGGUAAUCUAAUAGCAAAAGAAGGCUCUCGCUUGUCUGAGUUGAAAGAAAACAUUGUUUGGAUUGGAGAUGAGAUGAGGUGUGUUAAAUCUUUCUUGGAAGAUGCUGAUGAAGUAGAGUCAGAAAGCAGAGGAUUGGCUGACUUCAUCAGGAGCAUUUGGGAUCUUGCUUAUGAUUUGGAGGAUAUCGUGGAUGCGUACUUCCCUAAGCUAUCACCACUUAGAAGGAAUGACUGGAAGGGGCGUCUUGGUUGGUUUUUGAGAGCCAAAACUGUUCGUGACUUUGCGGUGGAGAUUGAAGAAAUAAGACGACGAGUUGAGGAUAUCAAUCGCAGGAGACAGACCUAUCAAGUCCAAGAUGCAAGUGGCCCUGCUGGAAGAGAGGUAUGGGAUCCAAGAAGAACUUUUCCUCACAUUGGCGAAGUAAAUGUUGUUGGUAUGGACGAACACAUUGAGGAAUUGGUGGCCGAAGUGUCGGAUGAAGAUUUAGAGCAUCGUGUGAUCUCAAUUACAGGUAUGGCCGGUCUAGGCAAGACAACACUGGCCAAAAAGGUAUAUAAUUUUGUUCGACAAAGAUUUCGGUGUUCAGCUUGGAUUUAUGUCUCUCAACAACCAAACCCAAAUGAACUUUUACAUGAUAUAGCAAGACAAGUUGGUUUGACUAGAGAGAAGUGCAGGCACAACUUAGUUGGGAACUUAUUCAAGAUUUUAAGCCAAAAAAGGUAUGUGAUAGUAAUUGAUGAUAUAUGGCAGAUUGACCCAUGGAAUGAUUUAAAAAAUGGCAUUCCUGUUAAUUCCAUAAAUGGAAGUAGAAUAAUCAUCACUUCCCGAUACAAAUAUAUAGGUGUACAAAUUGGUGGGCAACAUUUUUUACAUGAAUUGCAACCCUUGGACCAAGAAAAGAGUAAAGAGCUCUUCUUCAAAAUGGUUACGGCUGCCCCACAAGACGAUGAUGAAGAUGGUGAUUCCUCACAAUUGGAAAAUAUUGGUAAAAAAAUAAUUAAGAGAUGUGGCGGUGUGCCGCUUGCGAUAGUUGUCAUAGCAGGCCUAUUGUUAUCAAGAGAGAGAAACAUACACGCUUGGAAAGGGGUAUUAAAGAGUAUAGGUAAAGAUGAAGACCAAUGCUCAAAGAUCUUUGCUUUGAGCUACAAAGAUUUACCUCUAAUGUUGAAACAAUGUUUUUUAUACUUUGGUCUAUUUCCAGAGGAUCACAAAAUUUGCACAUUCCAACUAAUCAAUUUAUGGGCAGCUGAAGGAUUUAUACAUGGCAGUGGAGGAAGGGCAGUUGAGGAUGUGGGGCAAGAUUACCUAAAUCACUUAGUUGGUAGAAACCUAAUUCAAGUUGUUGAGAGGAGAUUCAACGGGACAAUUAGAUUUUGUCGUGUUCACGAUAUCUUGCAAGACCUCUGCAUUAGGAAGGCUAGGGAGGUGAACUUUUUUAACACUCUCAACGAUGUAGCCUCUUGUGCAGAUUGCCUUGCACCACGCAGAGUCACAACCUUUUUUCAAAGUGAUGCUGGCAACUACGCAUCUCCAAAUUAUCAAACUCCAAAGCUUCGGGCUUUCUUAUGUUUCGAUUAUUUGACAAGUGAUAGUGGGAAGCAGGUUAAGCUUUGUCUUAGAAGUUUCAAAUCUCUUCGGGUGCUAAUAAUAUGGCACUACUCUCCGCAGAUAGCUCUUAUGAAUGAAAUUGCGAAGUUAAUACAGCUGUCUCACCUUCUUUUGGGAGGGCAUAUUGUGGAGCUUCCUUACGCCAUAAGCAAUUUGAAAAAUUUGCUCACCUUGGAUCUACGUGGAUGCCUCGAAGUCAUCAUCCCUGAUGUCAUCUGGAAAAUGAAGCAACUUAGACAUAUUCUAUUACCUUUUGAAUGUCGGGCUCCUUCAGUUUGUGGGGUCAAGUUGGAUGGCCAUAGGGGCCAUCCGUUUGAAGUUUCUUUACCAGAACUACAGACCUUCUUUGGAUUGCCUGUCAAAAUUUUCGAGGCCAAUUGGUUGAACAAACUUGAUAGUUUGAGAAGACUGAAAGCCUAUUUUACAACUGAGCAUAUCAUUGAGGUAUUGUCAAGUGCUAACUCCCUGUCACAGAGGCUAGAAGAAUUGCAUUUAUCAUCGCUAUACCAUACAAAAUAUACUUAUAUGGCUCAGGGAUUAUUUACUGAAUUUAGAUCAACAUUGGAUCUGUCUAAAUAUGUAAGCCUUGGUAAGUUACUCCUGUGCCGGAGCCGCAUGGUUGAUUUUCCACGACAUGAUAAACUGCCAACAUGCCUCACAGAGCUUAUCCUUGAGUACACUAUGCUGGAAAUGGACCCAAUGGUGACUUUGAAGAAACUACCUAGACUUAAGAUCCUUAUACUUGGAUUUCAAUCAUACUUUGGGAAGAAGAUGGUAUGCUCUGGAGAAGCUGACAGCUUUCCUCAACUCAAAGUAUUGAAAAUUGAUGCAUUUAAUCUAGAGGAGUUUGUAGCUGAGGAAGAAGCAAUGCCCAAACUCAAGAACUUUACCCUCACUCACUGCAUACCGAGAAUGAGAGUUCCAGAUAGAAUCAGAAAUAAAAUCAUGAUUGCCCCAGUAAUAAUAGAAAACACCUUGGUUGCAGAGGGGGCACCUGGUUAUCCAUGUGAUCCGUGACUUCAUUUUGGAAGGUUAAAGCACCAUCUAAAGGAUGAUGAAUAUAUGGGCUCUUGAUCUUCGGAUUGCUUGCUCCUCAAUCUAUUCUUGCGACAUGAUGUCUUUCGGUUGAUUGCUUCCCGUUUAUUGGUGGAAGCUCUAUCUUUUCUCCUCUGAUCGUUUUAGUGACGUGAUUGCUUUUGGUUGAUUUCUUAUAAGAAGGCAUACCAUCUGCUCUGUAAUUUGGUGUUCCGGUGGCCGUGUGUCUUCAACUGAUCAAUAAGAAUUGAUUGUGUCAUUGAAAAUAAACCAUCUGCAGCUGGAUCAACUCGUUGCCCAAUGCCAUCUUCUUCAUGCAUGGCCCCCCAUUCUGAAAACACUCUUUUAACUCCCUUAUAUGAUCAAAUGCCAGAGAUAUCAAUCUGUUUAUCAAACUCAUGGCCACAUGGAUGUUGGGUCCUGUUCAACUAAGUUGUAGAUAAACUUGCAGAGUAUUAGGCUUGAAGUAGGAUAUGGCUCACUUGUGCUGGAGCUUUGCUUAAUUCCAGCCAUUGUAAAGCAGCCCUUACACAUCUAUGGUUGUGGCAAAACCAACUGUAUGCCUUUUCAAAUGUUUGUA